GUGUGUUGGUCCCUAUCAGUUACCUGGUGUUCUGGGCGGUGCUGCUGGGGUUCAGUCUGUACUCGGAGCCCGUGGUGUGUGGCAUGGGGAUCGUCAUCAUGCUCACCGGGGUACCCGUCUACUUCGUUGGGGUGCACUGGAAGAAGAAGCCCAAAUGUGUCUACAGGGUCGUGGAGUGUGUGACCUACGUGGGUCAGAAGCUGUGUUUCGUGGUGUUCCCCCAAGAAGACCUGUCAGAGAUCACCCCCCUCACAGCCUACGAUAAACACAACGACUGAACGUGCCCCUCACAGCCUACGAUCAACACAACGACUGAACGUGCCCCUCACAGACUACGAUCAACACAACGACUGAACACCUCUCUCCCUCCGUCCAUCUAACAGAACGGCCUGAUCCUGAUCCGGCUGCCUGCCUGCCAGGGACUUUUUAAACCUCUUUCUUGUUCGUUGCCUUCUACUCCCUGGAUGCGUCCCAAAUGAAACCCUAUUCCCUAUAUAGUGCACUACUUUUUUUGACCAAAGCACCAUGGGCCCUGGUCUAAAAUAGUGCACAAAACAGGGAAAUGGGUGGCAUUUGGGACGCACAGCGUCUCUCCUCAAUAGUAAAGAGAUGGUUUCCACCCUGGUGCUUCUGAGAGGCUCUCAGGCUCUGUUUAGUGGGUUGGGGAGCAUCAGGGAUCAUCCCAGGUUGUGUUGGUCUAUACCCUCUCCCCUUCUCCUCACUAGACAGAUAACGCCAAGACGCCAUACUCAAGGAACUUCUGUUUUCUGAGAUAUUAGUUUUAUUUUUUUAUUAGUAUUUGUUUUUGAAAUGGGUCUAAUAUUUGUCAAUUCUAUUGUGCCUUACCAUUGGGAAUAGUUUUUUUUUUAAUUAUAUUUUUUAUUUGACGCGGCCUAUUCAUUUUGUGGUGAUAAAUACGUUUUAACUGUGUAGUAUUCCCUGAGGUACGGUAGUAGUUGCAGUGGUUUUUCUUUGGCUGUAAUUCCCACAACUUCCUAUGACUUCCGCUGAGCUGUUUGACCUGUGGUAACUUCUACAGUUUGGUGGUGAUGGGAUACGGGUCUGACCUGUGGUAACUUCUACAGUUUGGUGGUGAUGGGAUACGGUCUGACCUGUGGUAACUUCUACAGUUUGGUGGUGAUGGGAUACGGUCCUGACCUGUGGUAACUUCUACAGUUUGGUGGUGAUGGGAUACGGUCUGACCUGUGGUAACUUCUACAGUUUGGUGGUGAUGGGAUACGGGUCUGACCUGUGGUAACUUCUACAGUUUGGUGGUGAUGGGAUACGGUCUGACCUGUGGUAACUUCUACAGUUUGGUGGUGAUGGGAUACGGGUCUGACCUGUGGUAACUUCUACAGUUUGGUGGUGAUGGGAUACGGUCUGACCUGUGGUAACUUCUACAGUUUGGUGGUGAUGGGAUACGGGUCUGACCUGUGGUAACUUCUACAGUUUGGUGGUGAUGGGAUACGGUCUGACCUGUGGUAACUUCUACAGUUUGGUGGUGAUGGGAUAC